rnacentral:lncRNA from 1 species
AGAUGAUAUCGCUAAGUUGUGGAUAGUUAGGUAUUCUGGAAUAUGAUUGGUUGUGUUAAUUUGCGAUUAAUACUAGGAAUCAUGUGUUAUUUUUACCGGGUUUAGUAUUAAUCAUAUUUUGGCCAUAUAGCAUUUGUGUAACCCACACUGCUAGGCAUGUUUGAGGUGAAAUGUGUUGAUUGUGUGGAGAUUAAUUCUAGGAACCUUGUGUUAUUUUUACCGGGUUUAGUAUUAAUCAUAUAUUGGCCGACAGCAUUUGUGUAACCCACAAUGCUAGGCAUAUUGGGGUGAGUUAGUGUUCCUUCAGACCUUGUACCCGGCGGGUUCAACGAAACCCCUUAUUCGCUGGAUCGGGAAGACUCAGAUAGACGGG